rnacentral:lncRNA from 1 species
GGAAACGGCGUCGUCUUCACGGCCGUGCAGUGGGUACGACACAGGGGGGAACUUGACCGUGUCGCUGCAGUUACUCUCCCUGCCGUUGGGGCAGCUGAUGAUCGAUCUCCCGUCGCUGGAGACGCAGACGCGGAUCUGGGAGAGGUAGUCGUUGUAGAUUAAAGGCCAGAGAAUGUAAUUCCUGGUGCACACCACCGUGAACGAGAACCCGAUCCUGGGCACCAACGCGUCGUUGAUGUCCUCCAGGCUGUAGCUCUUCGUCUCCGACGGGAUGAUGGCUUGAGAUCAGGAACAGAUCCAUGCGUUAGCUGCAGACACUUGUAAGCUCGAGGUCGGCAUGCAGGGCAGGGCUGCUUACCUUUGGAGCCGAGGGCAUGGAGGACGUCGGCUCGAGCCCGGAGCUGAAGCGCCCGGCCGAAGUAAUUCACCUCGCUAAGGCUGGUGCAGUUGCCGUAGGUACACCAGGCGGCCUUCCACACCUGCUUCCCGUUCUGGGCUGGGCAGCUCAAGCUGGGCCAGUAGGCGUUCAAGUCGUUCAUCAGAUCGUUAAGCUGUGGCAUGCGCAGAGUGAUCAGUGUGGGUCGGGAGCAGCGGAGAUCAUCGACUGCAUAGAUCCAAUCAGGCCUAUUACCGGGUUCAACAAGAAGCGGCAGCUGGGUUCGCAGUUGGCGACGAGCUUGCCGGUGGCGCUGUCGUAGGUCUCCAUGGUCUCCACCAGGAAGUCUGGCUCGGGGUUUUCGAUGAGCGGGUCAACGCAGCAGGUCGGCUGCCAGAACCACCCUGGCUGGCAGCGAGUCCCCGGCCACUGCAGGAGUCACGAUCCGUUAGACUUCAUUAACAGUUUACCGUACAAGAAAGGCUUUCUGUAAAGCCGAGAGAGAGAGAGAGAGAGAGGAAUAGGUACUAUGAGAGACAGGAUCAUGUAGUCGUAUGAAGCAGCUGCUAGCGCACAAGAGGCGGCGCACAAGAGGAAGCAGAACGUGGGAAGAGCCUUUGAGCCAGCCAUUCUGCAGAGGUGGAGAGGAUGAUCGGGGGAGAGACGCUUCGUGAGGUGAUGAGUCUGAUGGCUCUAUAUAAGCACUACAUUGAAGACACACCCACCUACUGAUAAUUGUUGGACUAAUAAUGCACCGCGAUUGCUGUUAGGGGGGUCUUAAAAUAAUGCACUUCGCAUAAAAUGUCGUACACCAACAUGAAACAUGAGGGACAUUCCCGCAUAUCGCAAGCAUAGUGGGUUGCAAAAUGCAAGGAAAGAAAGUAAGGAAUUUAUUUGAUUAUGGUCUCUCAUAGCUAUAAGAUUAUGGUCUCUCGUAGCUAUAUGGACUAUGUGACAUCGUCAAACCACGAUGUCACCUCCACCCUCCACCCCACCAGCCACUGGACCCUUUCCAUACAUUACAAUCAUUAAUCUUGAUGGAGGUGAACGAGAGAUAAUCAUAAGUAUUUUUCCUCUCUUCUCUUUUGUAUGACUCAUCGUAUUAGAUAUUAUCGUACGCUUCACGCACAUAUUGUUUUACUCACCUGAUCGAGCAACGAUAAUAGUGUGAUAGAAGCGAGCAAGGGAUACUCCUUCGACUAAGGGGCUUGAAAUCUAAGAGAUAGAAAAGGGAUUGAGGAUAAAGACACGAGCAAGAGAUAAUAUAAUUUUAUGACGAAUAAGAGUUAAAGAGUAAGAUGAGAAUGACUAUAUGAUGCGAAUAAAACAAAAAAGUGACAUUAGUAGAAUAAAAAGUAAAAAANNNNNNNNNNNNNNNNNNNNNNNNNNNNNNNNNNNNNNNNNNNNNNNNNNNNNNNNNNNNNNNNNNNNNNNNNNNNNNNNNNNNNNNNNNNNNNNNNNNNCGUGUUAUUAUCUAUCGGCAAACAAUUGACUUGAUAAUUGAUAAGGCAUAUAUUUAGGAUCUCGGCCACGUCGCGAUCCACGCCACGUCACACUCCUGCAGAUUCAACACAAGGGUUGCCUUCCUUCCACGUCGAGUUGGAGCUCGUAUAGGGAGGCACCCUCUCAACAAGUCCCUUCCCAGAAAGCUUGGGACGUUGUCCCAUGGCGUCGUUCCGCGCAUACCGGGUGACGAUUACACGAAGGUACGAUCUUGGGGGUAUCGAUCGUCAAGUCAAAUCCGCGUAUAAUCGAUCCUCGGACAAUAGUAUAAAAUCCCUUGACCGGCAUCUGGCUAGGAGACAAAGAACAGAAGAAAAAAAUCACUGACUUAGUCUACGAUGGGCCAAAGUCGGGAAUCUCCAGACCAGGGCGUGUGUGCAGGAACGUGGCCACCCCCGAACUAGCUCAAUCCCUCAUUGGAGAUGCGACCAUCCUGGCCGUUGAUCCAGACGCGACCAUCCCGACCCCUGAUCCAACUCGGCCUCGAUGCUUCUUCCAAUCGAUCGAGAGGCGCACUCCCGAACGUCGAAAACUCUGGACAUCGACAUGUGAACCAAAACGUGCCGACUCCUCGACCACGGCACGUAAGUUCACCAACAAAAAUAACGACGCAUUGUUGAAACAUUGAUUAUAAUCAAAGAAGAACGUUCUCAAAAUUAUUUUAAAAAAUAUUUUAUUUCUACCUAAUUAGUCAAUUAUUUAAAAUUUUUUUGAUGAUCAAUUCAUUUUCACUAACUCAGUAAAAUAUAAUAUUUGAAGAAAAUUAUACUGAAGAUAGAAUGUAAUAAAUGUAAUUAUAUAUAUAUAAUUAAUAUUUUUAAAAUAUAUUAAAUCGGAUAAUUUUACGGAAUAAGGUUUUGAGUCGUUCGAUGUAUGACUCUGUUAUAUCAAUAUAAGAUGAUAUUUUAGAUAUUAAAAAUAUAUACGAGACAACAUUUUGGUGCAGUUAUAUAUGUUUAAGAAAGACCACUUUUAUUACUGCAGGUGUGAAGAAGAUGCGACUCUACAACUCGGGAGUAAAAGACGAAGCGACAGCUCACAUCACCAUAAGUGCAAGCAUGUGGAUCACGCCAAGCAGAAGAAGACAGGCUUAAAGCAGUUCCUCCAUCACAGUGCCAUCUCGUCGCCGGAGGGCAACUCGAUCACUGUCUUGGAAACGGCGUCGUCUUCACGGCCUUGCAGUGGGUACGACACAGGGGGGAACUUGACCGUGUCGCCGCAGUUACUCUCCCUGCCGUUGGGGCAGCCGAUGAUCGACCUCCCGUCGCUGGAGACGCAGACGCGGAUCUGGUAGAGGUAGUCUUCGUAGAAGAAAGGCCAGAGAAUGUAAUUCCUGGUGCACACCACCGUGAACGAGAACCCGAUCCUGGGCACCAACGCGUCGUUGAUGUCGUCCAGGCUGUAGCUCUUCGUCGCGUGCGGUAUGAUCCCACUCGAGCCCAGGUUGACGAGGGGGUCCACCUUCUUCCUGAGUUGAAGCGCCCGGUCGAAGUAGAGCGACUGGUUGAGGCUGGAGCAAGUGCCGUAGGUGCACCACACGUCCUUCCAGUGGGGCAUCCCGCUGUUGCUGGGACAGGUCAGGUUGGCGUAGUACGUGUACAAGUUGUCGAGCAUGUUCACCAGCUGUCCAAACAAGACAAAGCGGUCAUCAUCGACAUCUCGGCCGAGUUAGCUCGGGUGGAGGAGGCUAACGAGACUCACCGGAAGUAUCUUGAAGACGCAGCUUCUGCUGCAGCCGGUGACCGGUUUACCGGUGGCGCUGUCGUAGGUUUCCAGGGCUUGGACGAGGAAGUCCGCCGCCGGCUCGCCAUUCGUCGGCAUACAGCACUUCCCUGUCGGUUGCGAGCUAGCACAGUAGCUUCCUGGCCACUGCAGUGAGAAGGACAUCAUACCAUCACCCAUCUUGCCAUCGAUGGUUACCACUACUGCAGGAAACCAGAACCAAGUAGAGGGUAACUAUACCAUAAGUUUCAAGAUCAGGUAGUCGGGCUUCGAAGCUGCCCUUGCCGCCGGAGAGGAAGACAAGCAUAACAGCAAGACAAGCAAGCAGAUCCCAGGAAGAGCCUUGAGGAUAGCCAUUCUGCAGGAGCUGUCGAGUUGCCUUGGUGAUGGUGGAUAAUAUAAGCCCAUCGUGGAACACACUGGUUGUGGCCUGGUGGUGGCGGGAUCCAUGGCAGCUCUAUCAAGAAAUGGCUGUCCUCGUCUCAGCCAUCAGCCUCUCCCCACGAGUUUCACGUGGCUUGCAGAUCUCAUCGCUUUCGAGAAAUGGUCGCCGUGCUGUUCACCACCAAUUUAAUGAUGACAUUAAAAUAAUGGCACAGUACAAGAUCAGAUGAUGUUCCAUGUGACUGACUUCUUUUAUUUGGACUCUCUCUCUCUCUCAUGAUUCGGGAACGGACAAGGAGAUGGAAGCAUUGAUUACAGUCGAGCCACCCAAACAACACCCCACUCCUCGCCAUCAAAUGUUCUUAUCUUCACAGACCGAACAUCAUUGAAGGGACUAAUAAGAAGAAGAUGGAUAGCAACCUGAUCGAAACAAGAACAAUGUUGAGAUGGGGAGGG